rnacentral:lncRNA from 1 species
GCAUCCUGUAGCCAGCGACUCAAAAAUGAAUCUGGGUAUCCCUGAGGAGACGGGGAAGACGCUCCGACUCGGCUGGAUGCGGCAGGGAGAGCCAGUUUGAGGAGCACUGAACUCUCAGAAGGCCUCCCCUGAACACCAAUGUACAAUUUAGGGACGAACAUCUCCUGAAUCCCCCCAAAUGCUGAAGACUUAUCACCCGUGAGAGAGGGAAGACAUGGUGUCAGAGACAAAACCCCUAGGCUGGACGGCACUUGGAGCCCCAGAUGCUUUGCUGCACAGAGUUCACAGAAAAAGAAUCGGAAGAUCUGGGAAAUCCAGGUUCCCGAGGAAGAAAGCCAGUUCCUUCUAGUUCUGGACUCUGGAAGAAACCAGAGACCUAACAGCGUCACAGCCUGGCGUUGGCAACCCUUCCCUGAGAUAAGGGAGCAGAGGCGCGGCUCUCCUUCGGAGAGAAACAAAUAGAUCUCCAUCGCUUGCCCGUGUGUCGGUUUUACUCGGGAUAGCGAAAGUUCUGAUACCUUUAAAGGAGCUGGCAAAAAUCCUCCAGGCUGAAAUGUCAGCAAACCGCUGACUUCCAGAUAGACCAAGUGCAGUUCACUCAACGUCUCUCAUCAGUGCCUUGUUGUCUGAAGCCCGGAGCCUCCAGAUCGAGAACAGAACGUGGUCUCUGUAAAAAUCACCACUCUCAACACACUCGGUCAAAAAGAUGGUGAUUUGCUUUAAAAUUAUUAGAUUUAUUU